UACGUAGGGGGCGAGCGUUGUCCGGAUUUAUUGGGCGUAAAGCGCGUGUAGGCGGCUUGGUAGGUCUGCUGUGAAAACUCGGGGCUCAACCCCGAGACGUCGGUGGAAACCACCUGGCUAGAGUCCGGAAGAGGAGAGUGGAAUUCCCGGUGUAGCGGUGAAAUGCGCAGAUAUCGGGAAGAACACCCGUGGCGAAGGCGGCUCUCUGGGACGGUACUGACGCUGAGACGCGGAAGCGUGGGGAGCGAACAGG
rnacentral:rRNA from 1 species